AAUUCUCAACUCCCUUUGAUUUUGUUAUUGAAGGGGGCUUGGAUAGUGGGUUUGCUGGCGUUAAUCCGUCGGCUUUCCUUAAAGGCAUUGGCAAAGGCGAUGGCAUGAUAACGUCUUUCGGUGUGAUAAUGAUCGCCGUGGAUGGAAGUGUCCUAGUUCGUCCUGUGCCUAUAACCCCAGUUGCUUAUGUCUAACACGCAUUUGUGACGAUAAACUCUGAACC
rnacentral:misc_RNA from 1 species